UGGCUUACCGUGGUUGCAACGGGUAACGGGGAAUCAGGGUUCGGUUCCCGAGAGGGAGCAUGAGAAAUGGCUGCCAGAUCUAUGGAUUGCAGCAGGUGCGUAAAUUAUCCACUUUUGGCAUAAAGAGAUAGUGAUCAUAAAUAGCGGAUUCGGGUAUUUGCCUGGAGAUCGCAAUGAAAUAAUCGUAAAAGCUUUAAUGAAUGCAAUUGGAGGGCAAGUCUGGUGCCAGCAGCCGCGGCAAUUCCAGUUCCAAUAGUGUAUACUAAAGUUGCUGCAGUUGAAAAGCUCGUAGUUGGAUCUCGGCUUGCUAGCGUGUGUGAGCGCGCAAGUAGGCCUUUGCUGUAGUUUCACACUACGGCUUUACCUUGAACAAAAUAGAGUGCUUAAAGCAAGCAUUCUGCUUGAAUAUCUCAGCAUGGAAUAAUAGAAUACGACUUUUCUGUUGGUUUACCAGCAAAAGUAAUGAUUAACAGAGACAGACGGGGGCAUCCGUAUUGCUCCGUUAGAGGUGAAAUUCGUAGAUCGGUGCAGGACGUACUACAGCGAAAGCAUUUGCCAAGGAUGUUUUCAUUAAUCAAGAACGACAGUUGGAGUAUCGAAGUCGAUUAGAUCUCGUCGUAGUUCCAACUAUAAACGAUGCCAACUAGCACUCCGCUGGUAAUAUUUUUUUUACACUAGCGGGUGGCUUCCGGGAAACCAAAGUCUUUGGGCUCCGGGGGAAGUAUGGUUGCAAAGCUGAAACUUAAAGGAAUUGACGGAAGGGCACCACCAGGAGUGGAGCUUGCGGCUCAAUUUGACUCAACACAGAAAAACUCACCCGGGACCGAACACAGUAAGGAUUGACAAAUUGACAGCUUUUUCUUGAUACUGUGGGUAGUGGUGCAUGGCCGUUGUUGGUUGGUGGAGUGAUUUGUCUGGUUUAUUCCGAUAACGAACGAGACUCAGACCUACUUACUAGUCGUUAGAUUAUCGUUUAACAACUACUAAGAGGGAUCAGUGUCAAAAACACUUGAAAAUGAGCAAUAACAGGUCUGUGAUUGCCCUUAGACGUUCGGGGCCGCACGCGUGCUACAAUGAAGAAAGCAAUGGGUGUCUUGCUUGGUAAAGCCGGCUUAGCCUUAAAAUUUCUUCGUGGCAGGAAUCGAGGCUUGUAAUUAUUCCUCGUGCACAAGGAAUUCCUAGUAAUCGCAGGUCAUUAGCCUGCAAUGAUUACGUCCCUGCCCUUUGUACACACCGCCCGUCA
rnacentral:rRNA from 1 species